ACCUGGCUGGCUCAGUUGGUAGAGCAUGUGACUCUUGAUCUCAAGGCCGUGGAGUUUGAGCCCCAUGCUAGGUG